rnacentral:rRNA from 2 species
AACACGUGGGUAACCUGCCCUUAAGUGGGGGAUAACAUUUGGAAACAGAUGCUAAUACCGCAUAAAUCCAAGAACCGCAUGGUUCUUGGCUGAAAGAUGGCGUAAGCUAUCGCUUUUGGAUGGACCCGCGGCGUAUUAGCUAGUUGGUGAGGUAACGGCUCACCAAGGCAAUGAUACGUAGCCGAACUGAGAGGUUGAUCGGCCACAUUGGGACUGAGACACGGCCCAAACUCCUACGGGAGGCAGCAGUAGGGAAUCUUCCACAAUGGACGCAAGUCUGAUGGAGCAACGCCGCGUGAGUGAAGAAGGCUUUCGGGUCGUAAAACUCUGUUGUUGGAGAAGAAUGGUCGGCAGAGUAACUGUUGUCGGCGUGACGGUAUCCAACCAGAAAGCCACGGCUAACUACGUGCCAGCAGCCGCGGUAAUACGUAGGUGGCAAGCGUUAUCCGGAUUUAUUGGGCGUAAAGCGAGCGCAGGCGGUUUUUUAAGUCUGAUGUGAAAGCCCUCGGCUUAACCGAGGAAGUGCAUCGGAAACUGGGAAACUUGAGUGCAGAAGAGGACAGUGGAACUCCAUGUGUAGCGGUGAAAUGCGUAGAUAUAUGGAAGAACACCAGUGGCGAAGGCGGCUGUCUGGUCUGUAACUGACGCUGAGGCUCGAAAGCAUGGGUAGCGAACAGGAUUAGAUACCCUGGUAGUCCAUGCCGUAAACGAUGAAUGCUAGGUGUUGGAGGGUUUCCGCCCUUCAGUGCCGCAGCUAACGCAUUAAGCAUUCCGCCUGGGGAGUACGACCGCAAGGUUGAAACUCAAAGGAAUUGACGGGGGCCCGCACAAGCGGUGGAGCAUGUGGUUUAAUUCGAAGCAACGCGAAGAACCUUACCAGGUCUUGACAUCUUUUGAUCACCUGAGAGAUCAGGUUUCCCCUUCGGGGGCAAAAUGACAGGUGGUGCAUGGUUGUCGUCAGCUCGUGUCGUGAGAUGUUGGGUUAAGUCCCGCAACGAGCGCAACCCUUAUGACUAGUUGCCAGCAUUUAGUUGGGCACUCUAGUAAGACUGCCGGUGACAAACCGGAGGAAGGUGGGGAUGACGUCAAAUCAUCAUGCCCCUUAUGACCUGGGCUACACACGUGCUACAAUGGAUGGUACAACGAGUUGCGAGACCGCGAGGUCAAGCUAAUCUCUUAAAGCCAUUCUCAGUUCGGACUGUAGGCUGCAACUCGCCUACACGAAGUCGGAAUCGCUAGUAAUCGCGGAUCAGCACGCCGCGGUGAAUACGUUCCCGGGCCUUGUACACACCGCCCGUCACACCAUGAGAGUUUGUAACACCCGAAGCCGGUGGCGUAACCCUUUUAGGGAGCGAGCCGUCUAAGGUGGGACAAAUGAUUAGGGUGAAGUCGUAACAAGGUAGCCGUAGGAGAACCUGCGGCUGGAUCACCUCCUUUCUAAGGAA